CGGCACUAUGUGUCCCUAGAGAGGUGCAGAUACACCUGCCUUUUCCUCUUCCUCCGCUUCCUUCCGGUGGCCACCGGUUUGGUGUGACCACCGUGAUUGUUUGGCGUGGCCGUUGCGGGUGCACGGUCCUCUUCAUUCAGCGCGACCGGCUGCCGGGGCCGUGAGGAUGCAUCGCUCCGGGGAGGCCUCUCCUGGAGGUGCUCGCCUGCUCCUUUCGUUUACACCUCGCCACAGCACACUGUUUUUUGUUUUUUUCUUUUAAUAAUUGCUACAUGAUAGUGGUUGUAUUAAGAGGUGGACGAAGGCAGGUAUGUCCCCACUGAAGGCCCAGGUACCAAAUGCACGAAAUUUUCAUUUUGCAAAGUCUGCACUUUGCCCUCCAACUAUCAGUUAUAUUAAAACGUGUCCAAAUUUUACUGUUUUCUGUCGCUCAUUUCUCUCACCUUUCCUGUGUGUGUGACUAUGUAGCAAUUCUCUCUCCUGCUAGUGUUGUGUCGUUCGUGAACGAUUCGUUCAAAAGAAUGAGUCUUUUAAGUGAACGUACUGAAUCGAAUCACUGCCUCAAGUGAUUCGUUCGUUUCACAGUUCAGUUGAGCUGUCAGCAGCACAGCAGCCGCUGCAGGGAGGGAGGGACCACACGCUGACUGUGCCGCCUCGCCAACGCCUGAAUCACUCGGUGAACGAAUCACUCAGUGAACUACACUCUCCUGAAUCAUUUUCGUCUGAGGGAUACACUUUCAUCCCUGUUGUUUUAACAGAUUUAUUUUCCAGAUAAACAAACUUAAAAUGUUAGGCUGGCAGUAAUUAGAU